rnacentral:lncRNA from 1 species
AUUAAGACAACUUUCUUUCAUUUCCUCUGGGAUGUGUAUUAAACCUAAGAAAUGGUAAUUUAGAAAUCCCAGACGUAUUAAACUUGCCUUGGGGAGUAAACUUUGGUUGUUUUAACUUUCAGAGAAAUGGUGAAAGUACAUCGAAGUGGCAGCGUGCAGGGUGUGAGGUGAGGGACAGACCUAAGUGAGGCAAGAGGAGGAGCUGGGCUUUCUGUGACAUGAGGGGCUACGGGUCAUCACUGGGGGCUUCUGACUAAGGGCACUAAUUGGACAGUAGGAUGCUCAUAAAGAUGAAACAUCUUUAAGUUGUCAGGAAGAGCUGAUGGAUCUACAGCUCGAGCUCUUUUCCUUGAGGAUUGCCUUACGCUAUCCAUAUAUAUUAAUCAUAAAAUCUGAAACAUAUUGUUCCUGGUUUGUGAUGUAUUUUUAAGAAAUCUUUUUGUCAAGAUGCAAAUUACAGAAAUUAUGAUUGUGAUUAUUACGGUUAGUUUUAAUUAGCAAAUAUUACUUAAAUGAUAAAAUAAUGAAAAAAGACUUUUUCCUCUACAUAAGACCAUGUUAGUGGAAAGCAAGUAGAAAAGUUGAAGAAACUGGAG